AUCAUAAGUCUCAUACAAAUUCUCAAAUCAUCCAGUGUCAUACAAAUUCUCAAAUCAUCAGAUGUCAUACAAAUUCUAUAUUCAUCUUUCACAUGUCAGACUUUCACUGACUCAUAUAACGUAGACACUUGACUCUACUUCCAGAAGACUCGUGCGUUGACUUAGACUCAGAGAUCGGCACCUGUCAUACUAAAUCACUGUGAAAUCCACACAACUAUGCGCAUAAAUAAUCUCAAUAUCAUCUCUCUCCUAGUAUGACAGGGUUAACUCAUAUAACAGGUCAAGUUAGUUAUCUUUCAAACAACUUAUCCAUCCAUAUGAACCUCAUUCGACUCUCACCACCUGAAUAACUUCAUCUAUAUGAUUCCAUUAUCUCAGUAGAGUCAGGAUAUCUCCUUCUAGACGAAUCCCUAGUCAAUGCACAUCAUAAACAAUCUUAACACGGUAUUUUCUUUCCUGAAAAUACUAUGUAUUGAUCUUACUUUCACAUCAUUGCACACUUCAUUUAACACAUCAAUACACCAUUCAAUCAUAACAUAUAAUUUAAACUUUCUAACAAUCCAAAUAUAUCCAAAAAGUUAUUUAGCAAUAAUAAUCUAAAAUAAAC
rnacentral:lncRNA from 1 species